CCUCACCCCUUCACCAGGUGCUCAAUCACCACUUCAAGCCAUCACCUGCAGCCAACAGUGCUUCGUUGUGCUCUUCAUUAAAGAAGCAGACGGAUUAAAGCAGUGAUAUGGAGAAGUCACUUUGGUCUACGUGGAAUGUUUUGAUCUACCCGCUGAAAAACAAGAGCAGAGAGGUGACCUGAGCAGGAACCUGGGAGAUGCAGCACCCCCAGCUGAGACACCACGACGACUUUAAAUGAGCCCCAAAGGAGACGAAGCGAAAGACCACCAGAAUUCAGCAAGUAUGCGUGGUAUGAACCACUGCAGACGUCAGUACGUACGUGCAGAAGCAUUCAGUCACUGCUGGAGUCAGAAGUGACAAAACAACUCCAGGCAUCUCAAAUCAUUUCAUAA